rnacentral:rRNA from 1 species
GACGAACGCUGGCGGCGUGCCUAAUACAUGCAAGUUGAGCGCUGAAGGUUGGUACUUGUACCAACUGGAUGAGCAGCGAACGGGUGAGUAACGCGUGGGGAAUCUGCCUUUGAGCGGGGGACAACAUUUGGAAACGAAUGCUAAUACCGCAUAAAAACUUUAAACACAAGUUUUAAGUUUGAAAGAUGCAAUUGCAUCACUCAAAGAUGAUCCCGCGUUGUAUUAGCUAGUUGGUGAGGUAAAGGCACACCAAGGCGAUGAUACAUAGCCGACCUGAGAGGGUGAUCGGCCACAUUGGGACUGAGACACGGCCCAAACUCCUACGUGAGGCAGCAGUAGGGAAUCUUCGGCAAUGGACGAAAGUCUGACCGAGCAACGCCGCGUGAGUGAAGAAGGUUUUCGGAUCGUAAAACUCUGUUGGUAGAGAAGAACGUUGGUGAGAGUGGAAAGCUCAUCAAGUGACGGUAACUACCCAGAAAGGGACGGCUAACUACGUG